rnacentral:rRNA from 1 species
UUUAUGGAGAGUUUGAUCCUGGCUCAGAGUGAACGCUGGCGGCGUGCCUAAUACAUGCAAGUCGAACGAUGAAGCUUCUAGCUUGCUAGAAGUGGAUUAGUGGCGCACGGGUGAGUAAGGUAUAGUUAAUCUGCCCUACACAAGAGGACAACAGUUGGAAACGACUGCUA